AUUGAAUGACAUGGUGGCAUAUUCAUACACAUUAUGUUCAACACAAAAAAGUUUUUUUAACUUGAUCCCAAUUCCACGAGAGUAUACAUAUUUGCAUUAAAAAUACUGAAAGAAAUGCAACAAAAUGUUAACAGCAUUUACCCCUGGGUAAUGAGAUUAUGAUUGGAUUUUAUGUCUACUUCUCCCUUUUGGUUAUGUCCACAUUGGACAAAUUUCAUGAUAAAUCACACAUGACAUGUUAUCAAUCAAUUAGACAAGAGAGGCCUGGAGGAAGAGAGGCAGGAAGCAGACACAGACAGCAGGAGGUGUGACUAAACUUACGUAUGCAGGAGGCCCGCUGCCAGCUUUAUAGAAGCAAGACCACAGAGCCACCCAGUUCCAGGGACACUGCAAAGGGCCUGACAGGUGGCAGGCAGAACAAGAGCCAUUUCACCAGCAGGAAGGGCCCCAACAUGCAGUCUGGACUGCCUGCUCUCUUGUGCACAGUGGUGGCCUUCAUCCUCUUCGGUUCCAGCAAUACACAGAGUGUCACUCAAACUCCAGGUCCAGUGAAUAAACAAGAGGGAGAAUCUGUGAGCUUGCACUGUAGUUUCACACUCAGCUAUACUUACUAUGUGAUGAGCUGGUUUCGACAGCUUUCCAAUGGAAAGAUGACUGAAAUCAUUAAUCUUUAUUCUACUAGCACAAACACCAAGAAAGGACGAUAUUCUGUAUCUCAUCAGAAAGGAAACAAAGCCCUAAGUCUCACCAUCAUAGGCUUGAUGCCUACAGACUCAGGCGUCUAUUUCUGUGCUGUUGGAGAAACUGCACGGUGAGAGGAGUGACGGGGAGAGCCUUACAAAAACCCC